CAAAGAGCUCGAUGGUGUUGACAGACAAGUCCAGGUUGUUAUCCAGGACACAGUUUAUGAGCAAAGUGCAAGAGAUCAACAGACCUAUGUGAAAUACCUUGCAACUUCUGAAGAAAAAACUUACCAGAGCCAGCCCAUGUCACAAAGUGGACCAGAACCCAUCAAUGGUAGCCUGGAAUCCCUGGCACCAUGCACCGUGUAUGAAAUAGAGACUUGCUAUUUUUCCUUCAGAGCAUCAGUGCUCAGCUCCCUGGGAGCAUCAGUAGCAGCCUAGCUUCCCAAGGUGGUGGCACAGGCAGAGCACCUAGAAGGGAAACCAGGAAAGACCUGAACUUGUGGAGUGUGAAUCACUUAGAGAUGCUGGUCCCUCCUGCCUCCAUCACAGCUGGUUCAAUGACUUUCCUGCUCCUCUUCCUCCUUUCCCAUAUGUUGUAGUUAAGAAUUUUGGUAAGUCCUUGGUUGCCAAAGAUGACCAUUAGCAUGGUCAUCUUUGAAUUCAUCAUUAAAGUGGCACAAGUGGGCAGCAAUUCAGGGAAUCCACACAUGAUAUAUAGGACUCAGGGCUUUAUUGUGAGAUGAAAGACAAGGACCUCAUCAGGGUUUCUUUGCCCUCAUUAAUCAGCAGAAGAAAAAAUCUUUCAGCAGUCCUGACACUUCCAGUUUUGGUUUCCUACUAGACUUAGACCAGAUGAGACUCAAGUAACAAGGCAUUUGUGGAAAAGAAUAGUAAUAGUUCCUUCUUAUUUCAUAAGUAAGAAACGUGCAGAGGGCCAGCUUCUAAUUAAAUAAUAGCAGUAGUGAAAUGUGCAGAUGAUGAAAAUAUCCAGAUGGAUAUUGGAUUUUGGAUUUGCUGAAUUUUGGAUUUUAUGUUGCCAUGAGCCUUCAUUGACUCCAGCUACUUUAGAUAGGCUGUUUCCCUUUACUCUUCUUCCUGUGCCAGAGGUGGCUCAGAUUUCUCCCUAAGGGCAGAACGUGGACCAGCAGUGUCCUCCAAAGAGGAGAGACUGAAGGACUUCCAUCACAAGAAUUGUGAUGGAGGGGGGAGCUUACAAAGAUAACUGAGCAACCAUUCUCUUUUCAGUGCUGUCAACUCCUUUCCCUUCUUCCUUCCCAAUUUCUCCACAGAAGCAGCAGCAGGGGAUUCUGCCAGGGGCCAAGGCCCCCUUGUUGCUGCAUGCUCACAGACACCUACCACAGAUAAACACUCACUGUGACGUAUUGGAGCUUGUUUGGGGAUCACAUAUGCUGAUUCUGUAACAGCAUGGCUCAGGAUGAUAGACAAGCCAGCGCCAGAAACUUCCCAUGCUCCUAUGGUACAAAACAACUGCAAAUGCAUCUUAAUCUGCUGCCUAAAUUGGGCUGGGCUUUGAUUUGUGCCACCACAAAAACCAGCAGGAUCGGGACAUCUUGGUGAAUCUUGCUGUUUUGGUUAUCCAGUGGGUAAAAACAGCACUUAUAGCAUCUCUGGGUUGUAAACACCAUGAAACCAAUAGGAAUCUAUCACGUAAACAAUGACUUAUUAUUACUGACUUAUUUGGAGUCAUACAUUGUUUAUGAACGUUCUGGUCUGACACUGAUUGCUCUAAGCGUGGGUCUAAGCUUACUAGUAAGAAAAAGAAGUGGGUUUCAAGAUGGUUUUAGCACAAUUUCAGGCAUUAACUUUCUUCUUGACAGUGUCUGCAGGACUGAGACUCAUGACGAGCAUUUGCACAGCCACAAAAAUUCUAUUUUUAUUUAAGAUACUUCACAUAAAAUUUUCCAAGUCCUCAGAACAAUAGGCUCAUUAUAAUUGGCCUUCAAGGAGUCUUUGGAUACAUUACAACUAAGAUUGAUGGUAUAUGGUGUCUUUCAUCCAAAUAAGACUAUAUUCUCAAAAUACAGUUGGGCAAGUCCAAUACAACUGUAUGCGGUCGUGAAUUGCCUGGCUGCAGAAAGAGAUGUCUGUGUGCAGCCUCGAGGAGGUGUGGAGAGAAAGGUAGGAGGAGAUGCAUUCAAGAGUAGUGGGCCUGGGCUGUGCCCAGCAGCAUUAUGAACACACCCAGCAGAAUGGGGAGCAAAGGCUCAUGCCAAGACACAUUUUUCAGCUUUGAAGUGAGAAGCAAAGGGCCAGCUCAGGAUACAAGAUCUGAAGCACACACUGGAGUGGGUGUUUCUCUCCUCUUCUGUGCUCAGUGAGACUGCAGGUGAGGAGCGAUGUGUGCUGGUGCGUGGUGUGUGCAUGGGUACAGCUCACUCACCAUCGCUAAACCACAACCUGCUCUGAAGUGGUAGAGGGAUGCCUCUGAACUGGAUGCCUGUCUGCACAGAAAGUUUGUGAUCAGUGCUUCAUACAAAUAAGUCAUAAGGAACCUGAGACAUGUAAGCUGUAAUAAUAUAAUUGGAACUCACCCAGGACAUUCAAGGCAACAACCUUUCAUUACUGCGGUGAAGAUUGACAUGGGACCUGGAUGUUUGUAGCGUGUUCAUAAGAUUGCACCUUUGACAGCCAGCUGUCCCCUGGCACUAUUUGAUUGCACUGAGUGAUAAAGGGAAAAAAAGGCCAAUUGUUGACCUACUUUUUGUGGCACCAAUACUUGCUGUAUGUCAUUUCAGGGAGCGAAAAUUCCCAAACUUGCCUUAUUUAUACUAUUUAGCUGUGUUACAAUGCAUGGUUCAAAACUAGACUGUGGAAGAGUAAAUGUCCUACUAUGAAACGAAAGGUGCUGUGAAUAAAAUCAAAUAACAGACCCUAGAGAAUAACGGUAAAUGGCCAGGUAGCAGAGAAAUAAUCAUUUUACCACAUUGAGUUACAGCAUAUCAAGGGAGUUGUCAUUGAGUCCAGUUUUAUUAAUGUAAUACAUAACUGACUGGGAGGCGGCAAAAUGCAAGCUCCCUCCUGAAUCAGUUUAACCAGUGUGAAUUUGUGGGUAGACCAGGCCUCAGUCAGAACAAAAGAGAAAAUAAUCCCCUUGUAAUGCAGCAUUUAACACUUAGCAGUCAGGUGAUAAUUGCUUCAGUCCAAGGGGAUUAGCACAUUGCAACCUCAUUAUAAUGUAAAAUGUAACUUCCCUAUAUGGGGUUGUCUACACGGAAAACUUACAGUGGCAUAAACAAAGGUAUGAAUUCAAACUGAUUUAGUUCUGCUGGAAUAAUUCCUGGUGUGAAUUUAUUUCUUUGGGGAAAAGAAAGUGGGGUUUUUGUGGUGUCUUUUUUUUCUCUUCUUUCUUUUUUUCUUUUGCAGUUCAAUCAACUUCAGUGUUUUUUAAAAGUCCACCCAAAAUGAGAGAUACUGGAUGUCAGCCAAGCCCCCCAUCGCUUAAAGACACCAGAGCAUUCCUAAAUUAAGAAAGUGUAAGGUUUGGGAGAGUCAGGUUUUAUUAACUAGCAAGCUUAAUCAUAUGGAGCUAAGUAAAAAUGCAUUUAAGGAAUACUUAUACAUAGAAAUACUAAGCGUAUUCUCACUGAAGCAAAUUAAUUUCCACUCUCAGUGACAAGUCUGGCUUAAUUGCUGGUAGAGGAUCAGGUGUGUGGGAUACUUGUGGCAUGAAGAUAUCUGAAAAUUAGCAAUUGCCAGUGAUUCACCACGAGACCUCGUGCCUGAACUGGCUGCCAGGGUCCUCUUAGCAGGUCUGAGUUAUGCAGGCAAUGGUUGGUGCUCAUAGAGGGGCAAAAUUCUCUGAGAGAAGCAUGGUAAUAAAAGCCUUAGUAAAUGCUGAUGCCAAGGAAGAGGUUAUUAUUAUACUAAUAUUAUUAUACUAAUUAUUCCAUGCCACCCUAGAUGUCCUUGUACUUUGGGCCUGCUCUGCUUUAUCCUUAUUUCUUCAGGUCAACUGCUCCAUGAAGAACUGCAGAUCCACAUCCUGGGACUGAAAUGCUAACACUCAUGUAGGUCUUUUUAGCAACUCCAGGGAUCACCAGAGCAUAUUGAAAAGCAAUUUGUGACAACGGCAUUCUGCACCUUAAGUCUGGGUCUUGCCACAAACUGCUUAAACUGGAAGAGCAUUAAAAGGUUAAAAGGACAGCUGCACAGAGCAAGCCCUCCCCAGGGAUCCAAUAUUAGUUGGUCUCAUGGUCCUGGAGGUAGAGAGAGGUUAAGAAACAAUUGCAGACACACCACUGAGCAUGGCUGAGAAAGUCACUCUCCCGCUGCGAUUCUAACCAGGCGAGGAAGAAGCUGAAUCUCAAGAAAGACCAGCACUUCAUCUUAGCUGACCAUAUUCACCCUUCCUGAGCAACUUCAUUGACCUGUGUAUAUGAGCACAUGUUGAGGACCAUGCAUGCUCAUGGUGGGGAAAUGAUAGCUGAGCACUGAAAACACCCAUUUUUUGUCUGCAGAAAAACAUUCAGGAUUUAGCCCUAACAGUCAUGCAGAAAAUAAGAAUCAGGAAGCACAGCACCUGAACAAUGAUGGGGAGGAUCUCUCUCUCUCUCUACUCCCUUUCCUUCCUUUUGCACGAGGUGUCCUUCCCUUCAUCCCCACAUGCAGCCCUUUGGGUGUGUGGUUAGGACCACAGCUCCUGCCCACCAGCCCUGUUCUCCUGAGUGACACAUGCUGCAUGGAGCUGGGCACCUCUCUCCAAGACCCCCAUCCUGGCCUACACCAGUUCUCCAUCCCAUCCAUUCCACCCACCCUGGCAUCAGCUUGAUCCCUGACAGCCUGUCUCAGCAGUGCUCCCUCCCUGCUGUGGGUCUUAGAGGGAAUGCUGAGACCUUUGCUCUGCUGUGAAGUGUCUGGCGGGGAGAAGGAGGUGUUAACCUGAUAGUGUGGUGGUGAUGGGAAACUGCAUGGCUUUGAUUCCCUGCACAGGGGCAAGGGAAAUCAGGCACAGGUGAUUUUAUUCUUUUUCCUGUCAUACUGACACUGAUGAGCAGUUUAACUAGCUUAAGUGAGUCUUGAAGUGGAUUUUACACACUAUGUUAUGAUCUUAAUGUAUAGCAUUUAACAAAACCGGUAACUUAAAUUCUAUUGCUACAAUUCUGCACCAAAAUGUUACACAUUGUUUGAAAUCAAGCUCAGCUCUUUUCUCUGGCAUACAGGAACUAGAAAAGAAGGCAAAAAACCAACUCUGUCUUAAAUGUCCAAGCUAAAAAAAGCACUCUCAACACUCAUCAAAUAAAACACAGAAACUGAAUCAUUCAGAAGACAAAAAAAAUUAUUUUAAAAGCUUGUCUGUGACAGUUUGAUCUCUGCUGUGUUAUGUGCAACUGUGUUACAUGCACAGGUUGCAUAUAAGCACAUGGCAACAAACGGAAAACAAACUAAAGGAGGCUGGAUAUGGGCUUGGAGUUUUCCUUCUGAGAGGUGAAAUUUUAUUCCCCCUGCAAAUCUUGAUUUCAUGCCAUGAGUGCUAAAAUCAUCACUUCUUACUAGGAGGUACAGUUUAGAGAUAAAACAGAAGAGCACAGGGUAAUGUUAAUAAAAGAAACAUUGCUUGGUCCCCAACUGCCCACAGAGACCAGCAAGAAGAUCCUUGCACAAGAGCCAGCAUGGCGUGCAGCACUGCUUCAGAUUUCUGCUCUUUCCCAAUAUAAUUUGUUCCACAUGCUGUUUACCCAAUGUUUCUUCCAAACCACGUCUUGGCUAGAAGGCAGGUGAUGACAGGUCAUGGAAAAAAACAGAAGAAUUUUGCAGCUUUUCUUGGCUGUACUGAAUAUGCCCUCGUGCUUGGAACAAAUCAAACGCUUUGUGCCUUUAACGAACUGUGGCAAAUCCAGUGAGCCUUCCUUCCCUGACAGGGAGUGGAAAGAUGCACCAGUGCUAUAAACAACAGCCAGUUAUGGGAUGACUUCAGUGCAUUGACACUCACAGCAGAGAAAACAAGGUAUGGGCUGGCUUGUACGAGAAGAUGCAUGAGUGUGCUUUGCUCUGGAUGGGUGGCAGGGGACAGGGAGACUGUGCUUUGCAACCAGUAUGUGUCAUGCCUUACUUUACAUGCCUUUACCUGGGAUCUGCCCUUGAAGCAACAAUCAUCCACAAAUUCCUUGUCCUACAAGCCAAUCGGGUGUCACUUGCUAAAGAUACACUGGGGAGCAGCCCAUGAAGCUGAUGAGUACGGCAAGGUUUACCUAUUUCCUUGUGUCAAAGUUUCACAGUCAGUAAAGGUAAUGCCACCAUGAAAAUGCAUAAAUUAUAGCUCAUGCUGCACAAACCUAAUCUUUAAUAAAUAGACAUGAGGAAAACCUCCUCUUUUGCAAGCUGUCCUUACUCUGCAAGAUGCAAAGGGAAGAAACCAUAUAGCUCUGGCUCCAUUGGCUCCCUUGGAGAGUGAAAGAACUAUGUUGUUCUUUGUUAAUGCCUUCUCUGCUUCUCCAGGGACCACUGAGGGCAAGCCCAAGACUUCACAUCUGGGAUCUGAGCAGUGCAAGUGAAAGGCCAAGAAAAGGGGGAGAAAUGUGACAUCUGGAAGCUGUGUUGCUCCAGUGCCCGUGCGUUGUCCUGGCAGGCACAUAUCCAGAAAGGGAAGUGCCAGCCACAGGACUGAGCCUGAGCAUGGGCUCAAUGGCAGCUGGAUAAAUGUGCUGGGAUUUGCGUCAGUACCUUAUUUUUGGUGCUGGACCCCACUGAAUUUGUUUGACCUGGCAGUCACCAGUCAUCUCCCCAGCUGGGAAGAGAACAGCAGCACAUGCUGUGACCUGUAUAAAAAUCUAAGCCAGAAUGGCCGAGAGAAAGAGAGGAACCUAUAGAGGUAUAUUUAUGUGUCUGUGUCAAAAGAUCAAGUCUACAAAAUCACUGGAUAGUUACACCAGUAUGAUAUGUCUCUGUAGCUAAAGAUGAAUGGAGAAAGUGGUGGAAAAAUGCCUGUUGUUCCAUGUGGUUCAUCUAAUUUAUCUCUCUGAAGAUGUAUGUCCAUUUUCUGCAACAGUAUUUGGCUAGUUUUUCAACAUCCCAAGAAAUGAAACUUCUCAUGAAAAGUUACUUCACUGACCACAUUGAAAAUGUUCAUGGUGGGUUUGUUUGUUUGUUUUUUUUUUAAUUCAGUCAAAAUUUUAAGCUUACUAAUUUCACUUCAAUACUAAUAAAUGCAUCAUUCUGAAUCUCACUUAAUACCUGAUUCUCUCAAAAAUCUAUAGAUAACCAGACCUUUAUCAAUAUGGUUCUUUCAAUAAGUCCUUUCAGUGAUAGAAUUAUUUUGUCCUGGCUGAAUUCUACCAGUUUUUCCUGGUAAUACAAUUCAAGGUUCCUUAAACCCCAGCCAUCAACUGCUCUGUGAUUUGACAGGCAAGUCAAUGCCUGACUGUCUCUUGGCUGGCUAAAGAGUUUCAAAGAUCUUACAUUUCAUUACAGCUAAUCAGGAUCUACUUCUAGUGAAAAUUAAAAUAAUCCAGCACAACAAAUAUGUUAGAAUGUAGUCAUUUAUUCAUAUGAAUAUUCCACUCAGCUACAUACUCUUGCCCAGAUAUUGGACAUGCACAUUUUCCUCCUGCCUCAAAACCUGUGGGUACAUUGGAGGCUGUCCAAAGGAGUGAGCUACCCCAGUGCCAAAUGCUUUUGUUACCUGUUGCACAGUCCUAACUUCCAGUCUUCCUUUUUCAGUUUAUUUCCCCUGUAAGACUUACCAGUGCACUGAAAUCCAGACACAGUCAUGCAGAAUCCAGCUGUGCCACUUUUUGGGAGAAAUUAAUUAAAAAUUAUUUCUAACCUAAGACCUUCUAAAAUUUCUGCCUUCUUCAAGAUUGUCUCUUUACUAGGUUGUGAUUGGCAGGUUGGAGUUGGCAUAUCAGUAUUUCCUUCUACAUGCCAGCGUUAAAGGGAAAGUACUUGCUCCUGUCUCCAAAUAUGAGACGUUGUCCAUAUGUGCACUCUCCACUCUGUCCUGCCUAAUAACUAUACAUUAAGAUAUUAUGCAGGAAAGGUUGCAAUAUUUUGUAGCGUAUGUCUCUGCAAGUGAGAAGUGUGUCUCACACCUGCUUCUUGGCUUUGGGAUAUUAUUUCUGA